UAUUAGGUUGGUGCAAAAGUAAUUGCGGUUUUUGCCAUUGAAAAUAAUGGCAAAAUACACAAUAACUUUUG
rnacentral:miRNA from 1 species